rnacentral:rRNA from 1 species
UAAAAUUAAAGUGUAAUUUUAUUUAAAAUAGGAGGUGAAAUUUUUAAUUUUUAAUUAAAAUAUUGCUUUACUUUUUUAAUAGAGACUAUUAAAAUUUGGGUUUAAACUAGGAUUAGAUACCCUAUUAUUCCUUUUAAAAUUUUCUAACUUGAGUAGUAAUCAGUUAUAAUCUUGAAACUUAAAGGAUUUGGCGGUAUUCAAGUCUAGUUAGAGGAACCUGCUCUUUAAACGAUAUGCCACGAAGUAUCUUACUUUUAUUUGUUUUCAAUAUGUAUACCUCCAUUAUUAAGUAAUAUUUAUAAAUAAGUGCUGAAAUAUAGUUAUUUAGUAUAUUAGGUCAAGGUGCAGUUUAUAUAAAAGUUUUUGUGGGUUACUAUAUUUUAAUAUUCGGAUAAAAAAUUUAAUUCUUUUUUGAAGUUGGAUUUAAUUGUAAUUUUGUUUUAAUAAGGCAAAUUGAUAUUAGCUCUAGAAUAUGUACACAUUGCCCGUCGCUCUCAUUA